CUGUUCCAGCUUCACCAGGUGUGAAGAGGAAGAGACCUGUGCCCCUCCCCCCACAGCUGGCCUUCCUGGUGACAGAGACAGAGGGUCUCACAAAGGUAGAGGAGCCCCACUCAACUUCAGUUCCCAUAGCUCCUGUUCCCAUGCCUGUCCCUGACCACGACAUGAGCAAGUGGAUCUGCUCACAACAUCAAAAGCUGUGGAUGAGGACGGAGCUUCAACAACUUGGGUUGUGGCCUGGGUCCCGACCAGUGCAUAACCCUGGGAACGCAAUUUCUCUUUGGCGUCUUCCUCCUCAGCCGGAGCUACUGGACAUGGUGGCUGAGCUCCCGUCCCCCAACUUUUUUCACCUCCAUCCAUUUUUCAUUUGGAAGCCAGAGAGCCACAUCACGGUCAGGUUGAGGAACAAUGACAUCCUGCCGUGCCUCCAUAGCUGUCCUCGUCCUCAGGUGGUCUCUGCAGGCGUGGGCAGACCUCCAGUGAUCGUCAGCGUCCGUGGCCAGUAUUUGAUCUUUUCCUCGCGACUCUGCUGCAAGGCCUGUCGCAGGAACUGGUCCGCUGACAACCCUCCAUGGGUGCCGAGGCUGGGGCGUACGGACAGAGAACCAUCGGCCAGUACGUGAGGAUGGAAGAUCGGCCACGUGCUUUCGGGCCAUACGAGGACCAAGAAGGUUGGGGUGGGGUGUCUGUGUCCGGAUUCUACCUGACUGACUGCCUGCUGGAUGAGUUCAAGCGUCAACAGCCGUCUCUGACCAAGCUCCUCCAGGGCACGUUGGGGCAGGUUUUCUGGUGGGACCACACGAGGAAGAUGGCGAGGAAGGUGACACUGGCAUCUGGAGCCAUGUCCAGUUUCGCAGUGAUGAAUGAGAACUGGCUCAUUGUGUCCUGGGUGAUGGUUCAGGCUGAGACAGAAAGGUCCCUGCAUCCGAUGUAGCAAGGAAUGGCCCAGAGGUACAGCCACGCUGGGGUGGGAAAGGCCGGCUACCCCUGGAUGGACAGGGAUCGCUGCGCUCCAUUUAAGAUCCCGGACUGCGUCCCUGGUGAACAUCUGUGCUGGGAUGCCUGGAAGACCACCCCUUCCAUUGUUGCAGGAGCCCCCUCUGGAGCGCUGAGCAACACCUGCGCCUCACGGGCACAUUACAACAGCAGCAGCGUUGUGAAGCCAGACUGGUUUCACUGUGUGAGGCGCUUUGGACGAGAGUGCACCUCUGAGCACCAUCCUCUGUUCAGCCUUUUCUGCCAGCUCCUUUCUGCCGCCUUCUCUGUGGUGGAUCAGGAAGACCUGAAGAGGCUCCGCGAUGCCUCCGAGUUCUGCGGAAUCCGUCCAGCCAACCCCACCAAACGGCACGUCCGAGAGCACUGCAGAACUAAAAUUCCACAACCCAGCGAGCGGCUGGAGAGAGUGGAGAGAGUUCUGCAGCACUUUCACCUGGCCACGGACCCUAACCAUGUCCCCCUCUUCAAGCCAUCCAUGCUGAAGACGUGGCGCGUUCAGAGGGUUCCCAUCCUCCGUGGUUGCCUCAGUGACCCAGAACUGUCUGAGGGGAUAAUGGACAGGGACGGAGGGACCCUUCAGCUAAACCACGUAGCGGGCGAAUGUGCCAAAGUCCCCGUCUGGAUCCCUGUCCGUGGUCCAUCUCAGCAGGAGGGCUACCAUUUCCACCAGGCCCAGUGGGUCACGGGUCCGCAGGUCUCCCCUGAACUGUUCCAGGCCCAGGCCAUGACCGGCGUUGUGCGGUGGAACUUUCAGCGACCGGUAGACAUGAAGAAGCCCGGCGCCGUCCUCCCUGCUGUCUUUGACCCUGCCUCAAUGUGGGAGUUGAACUCUGCUUCCAUGGCAGUGACGGGACAAGACAAGUGCCCUGCGUUCACCUCUCUGACAGAGACACUGGAGAAAGGUUUGGGCUGGAGUCCAGAGAACCGGGCUGCCCUCCGCUCCCUCUGGACUGGGACAAACACAAAAUGCAGCAGAGGGAUCGGCCUUCGGCUCUCGUGCCCCCUCCCGCUCCAGACGAUGCUCCUGGGGCAACACCUUCCUCCAGCGGGGCAACAGCGACUGCUGUGCCGUCGCUUCCCCCUGCGCCACCUGUCAGCUUCCAUCUCUCUGCUGCUGGACGUGUAAAGGAGAUUCCAGCAGAGGACGACCAGGAUCCUGAAAGAUCAACGUCUCUGGAGCUUUGCCCCUGCCGCUGAAGUCCUCGCCGAGGAGCGCCCGCACUGGACCCAUGAAGACUGGUGGUGGAGUGUUUGUCUUGGACCACACACGCUGGACUCUUCCCAUGAAAGACGCUAUUGAUAGUUUGCUGCAGUAUCAUCAUGGGGACAAGGACAUCCUGAGGCUUGUGGAUCCAGACUACGCAGACACGGUCCAUCGGUCUGCGGCCGAUCCGAACAGCUUGCUCCGCCCCACAACCAGGUUUCACAUAUCCCGCUAUGUGAAGCAUCUGGCAAAGCUGUUGUACACACUUUGAGAUUUAAUGUUGCACUCCUGGACCUGUAUAUCUCCAGGACCCGGAGGUGUGCAGGUCGGAUCACGGCCGACCCUUCCCACCCUGGUCACGGACUGUUUUCCCCCCUCCCCUCAGGCAGGAGACUACGGUCUAUUCGGACCAGAACCUCCCGCUACACAAACAGCUUCUUCCCCUCUGCCAUCAGGCUGCUGAACACCAAGUGACUCAUCACUCAAGCACCAUGAACAGCAGCCAGCCGGACCCAUGAACAUCACAUUACUCCUGCAUUGACCUGCACUAUUUCUUACCACUUACUAUUUAUGUAUAUACUGUAUAUAUGUCUUAUUCUAUUUUAUUUAUCUUAUUCUAGUGUGGUCUUCUUUAUGUUGAAUGUCGCAGCGUCACACCAUGACAAAUUCCUAGUUUGUGUAAUACUGUGUAUUACAUGAACAAUGGCAAUAAACCUGAUUCUGAUUCUGAUUCUGAUUCUGAUUCUGGACACACUUUGAGAUUUAAUGUUGCACUGAGAUUUAAUGUUGCACUAUUGUACAUUGUUUUACAUUUAAUAUUUAACUCCUGUACAUAGUUUCAGAUUUAAUAUUUUAUGAGUGUGUUUGUGUUUAAAUAAAAUUGAAUUUCCCACUUUGGUCCACAC
rnacentral:lncRNA from 1 species